UAGGGAAUCUUCGGCAAUGGGGGGAACCCUGACCGAGCAACGCCGCGUGAGUGAAGAAGGUUUUCGGAUCGUAAAGCUCUGUUGUUAAGGAAGAACGAGUGUGAGAAUGGAAAGUUCAUGCUGUGACGGUACUUAACCAGAAAGGGACGGCUAACUACGUGCCAGCAGCCGCGGUAAUACGUAGGUGGCAAGCGUUAUCCGGAAUUAUUGGGCGUAAAGCGCGCGUAGGCGGUUUUUUAAGUCUGAUGUGAAAGCCCACGGCUCAACCGUGGAGGGUCAUUGGAAACUGGAAAACUUGAGUGCAGAAGAGGAAAGUGGAAUUCCAUGUGUAACGGUGAAAUGCGCAGAGAUAUGGAGGAACACCAGUGGCGAAGGCGACUUUCUGGUCUGUAACUGACGCUGAGGUUCGAAAGCGUGGGUAGCAAACAGG
rnacentral:rRNA from 1 species